rnacentral:rRNA from 1 species
UGCCCCCUGAUUUUAUAAUUAAAGGGCUGCAGUAUUUUGACUGUACAAAGGUAGCAUAAUCAUUAGUCAUUUAAUUGAUGACUUGUAUGAAAGAUUGGAUGAAAUAUAAACUGUCUUAAUUUUAAAUUAUAAAAUUUAAUUUUUUAGUUAAAAAGCUAAAAUAAAUUAAAAAGACGAGAAGACCCUAUAGAGUUUAAUUAAAUUGUAAAGUUUGUUAAUUUAUAUAAAUUAAUAUUAGAAAAUUUAUUUUUAAUUUUGUUGGGGUGAUAAAAAAAUUAAAAUAACUUUUUUUUUUAUUAUACAUAAAUAAGUGAUUAAUUGAUCCAAUUUUAUUGAUUAAAAGAUAAAAUUACCUUAGGGAUAACAGCGUAAUUUUUUUUUUUAGUUCAUAUAAAAAAAAAAGUUUGCGACCUCGAUGUUGGAUUAAGAUAAAAUUUAAAUGUAGAAGUUUAAAGUUUGA